CCUACGGGGGGCUGCAGUGGGGAAUAUUGCACAAUGGGGGAAACCCUGAUGCAGCAACGCCGCGUGAGUGAUGACGGCCUUCGGGUUGUAAAGCUCUGUUUUCAGGGACGAUAAUGACGGUACGUGUGGAGGAAUCCACGGCGAACUACGUCCCAGCAGCCGCGGUACUACGUAGGUGGCCAGCGUUGUCCGGAUUUACUGGGCGUAAAGGGGGCGUAGGCGGGCUUUUAAGUCAGAUGUGAAAUAGUCGGGCUCAACUUGAGUGCUGCAUUUCAAACUGUAAGUCUAGAGUUCAGGAGAGGAGAAUGGAAUUCCUAGUGUAGCGGUGAAAUGCGUAGAGAUUAGGAAGAACACCAGUGGCGAAGGCGAUUCUCUGGACUGUAACUGACGCUGAGGCUCGAAAGCGUGGGGAGCAAACAGGAUUAGAUACCCCUGUAGUC
rnacentral:rRNA from 1 species